rnacentral:rRNA from 1 species
AUUGAACGCUGGCGGCAGGCUUAACACAUGCAAGUCGAGCGGGGUGAUGGUGCUUGCACUAUCACUUAGCGGCGGACGGGUGAGUAAUGCUUAGGAAUCUGCCUAUUAGUGGGGGACAACAUCUCGAAAGGGAUGCUAAUACCGCAUACGUCCUACGGGAGAAAGCAGGGGAUCACUUGUGACCUUGCGCUAAUAGAUGAGCCUAAGUCGGAUUAGCUAGUUGGUGGGGUAAAGGCCUACCAAGGCGACGAUCUGUAGCGGGUCUGAGAGGAUGAUCCGCCACACUGGGACUGAGACACGGCCCAGACUCCUACGGGAGGCAGCAGUGGGGAAUAUUGGACAAUGGGGGGAACCCUGAUCCAGCCAUGCCGCGUGUGUGAAGAAGGCCUUAUGGUUGUAAAGCACUUUAAGCGAGGAGGAGGCUCUUUUGGUUAAUACCCAAGAUGAGUGGACGUUACUCGCAGAAUAAGCACCGGCUAACUACGUGCCAGCAGCCGCAGUAA